rnacentral:rRNA from 1 species
GUGAACGCUAGCGGUGCGCCUAACACAUGCAAGUCGAGCGAGAAGUUUUCUAGCUUGCUAGAAAACAGAAAGCGGCGAACGGGUGAGUAACACGUUGGUAUCUGCCCCAUAGUCAGGGAUAGCCAUUGGAAACGAUGAUUAAUACCGGAUAGUCUCUUCGGAGUAAAAAUUUAUUGCUAUGGGAGGAACCUACGUUCUAUCAGCUAGUUGGUGAGGUAACUGCUCACCAAGGCUAUGACGGAUAGUUGGUCUGAGAGGAUGACCAGCCACAAUGGAACUGAGACACGGUCCAUACUCCUACGGGAGGCAGCAGUGAGGAAUCUUCCACAAUGGACGAAAGUCUGAUGGAGCGACACCGCGUGAAGGAUGAAGGUCUAACGACUGUAAACUUCUUUUCUGAAGGAGCAUAAUGAGAGUACUUCAGGAAUAAGGGACGGCUAAUUACGUGCCAGCAGCCGCGGUAAUACGUAAGUCUCAAGCGUUACCCGGAAUCAUUGGGUGUAAAGGGUUCGUAGGCGGCCUUGUAAGUUGGAUAUUAAAGACCGGAGCUCAACUUCGUGUUUGUAUUCAAAACUGCAAGGCUAGAAUCAGGGAGAGGUAAGCGGAAUUCUGAGUGUAGGGGUGCAAUCCGUAGAUACUCAGAGGAACACCAAAAGCGAAGGCAGCUUACUGGAACUGUAUUGACGCUCAGGAACGAAAGCGUGGGGGAGCGAAAAGGAUUAGAUACCCUUUGUAGUCCACGCCCUAAACGAUGAUAACUAGGUGUUGGGAUUUAUUCUCAGUGCCGUAGCUAACGCGUUAAGUUAUCCACCUGAGGAGUACGGUCGCAAGAUUAAAACUCAAAGGAAUAGACGGGGACCCACACAAGCAGUGGAUCACGUGGUUUAAUUCGACAAUAAACGGGGAACCUUACCCAGACUUGACAUCUACCGAAUUCUUUAGAGAUAGAGAAGUGCUUUUAUUAGAGCGGUAAGACAGGUGCUGCAUGGUUGUCGUCAGCUCGUGCCUUGAGGUGUUCGGUUAAGUCCGUUAACGAGCGCAACCCAUGUCGUUAGUUAUUAUGUCUAACGAGACUGCCUUGGUUAACAAGGAGGAAGGUGUGGAUGACGUCAAAUCAGCAUGGCUUUUACGUCUGGGGCUACACACAUGAUACAAUGGUACGUACAAAGAGCAGCAAUACGGCAACGUGGAGCUAAUCUUCAAAGCGUAUCUCAGUCCGGAUUGGGGUCUGCAACUCGACCCCAUGAAGUUGGAAUUGCUAGUAAUCGUGAAUCAGAUAUGUCACGGUGAAUAUGUUCCUGGGUCUUGUACUCACCGCCC